AUCAUCAAACCAGGCACUCCUCUCUAUGCAGCACACUUCCGUCCAGGACAAUAUGUAGAUGUCACAGCCAAAACUAUUGGUAAGGGUUUUCAGGGGUGAUGAGCGGUAUGGUUUUAAAGGCCAGCCACGUCUCAUGGCCAGACCAAAACACACCGCA